UACAGAGGGUGCGAGCGUUAAUCGGAAUCACUGGGCGUAAAGGGCGCGUAGGCGGCCUGAUAAGUAGGGGGUGAAAUCCUGUGGCUCAACUGCAGGGCUGCCUCCUAGACUGUCGGGCUUGAGCACGGUAGAGGCAGAUGGAAUUCCCGGUGUAGCGGUGGAAUGCGUAGAGAUCGGGAAGAACAUCGGUGGCGAAGGCGGUCUGCUGGGCCGUGCUGACGCUGAGGCACGAAGGCCAGGGGAGCAAACGGG
rnacentral:rRNA from 1 species